rnacentral:rRNA from 1 species
CCUACGGGAGGCAGCAGUGGGGAAUAUUGCACAAUGGGGGAAACCCUGAUGCAGCGACGCCGCGUGAGUGAAGAAGUAUUUCGGUAUGUAAAGCUCUAUCAGCAGGGAAGAAAAUGACGGUACCUGAUUAAGAAGCCCCGGCUAACUACGUGCCAGCAGCCGCGGUAAUACGUAGGGGGCAAGCGUUAUCCGGAUUUACUGGGUGUAAAGGGGGCGUAGACGGCAGCGCAAGUCUGGAGUGAAAUGCCGGGGCUUAACCCCGGAACUGCUUUGGAAACUGUGCAGCUAGAGUGCAGGAGGGGUAAGUGGAAUUCCUAGUGUAGCGGUGAAAUGCGUAGAUAUUAGGAGGAACACCAGUGGCGAAGGCGGCUUACUGGACUGCAACUGACGUUGAGGCUCGAAAGCGUGGGGAGCAAACAGGAUUAGAUACCCUUGUAGUC